CUGGGAGCAGUGGAAGACCCAUACAUUCCAAGCCUGGCUAAAUGAUGUACCAGGUACAUCUCCCAACUCAAAGAAAGGAAGGAGUGGAGGAUGCAGAGUGUGAUAUUUGAGCCUUUUCUCCUACCUCAAAUGGUGACAACACAUGUUCGUCAGGUUCAACUCCAGCCAUGGUUUCCCGGUGGAGGUCGAUUCUGACACCAGCAUCUUCCAGCUCAAGGAGGUGGUUGCUAAGCGACAGGGGGUUCCAGCUGACCAGUUGCGUGUGAUUUUCGCAGGGAAGGAGCUUAGGAAUGACUUGACAGUGCGGAGCUGUGACCUGGAUCAGCAGAGCAUCGUUCACAUUGUGCUGAGACCCCAGAGAAAAGUCCCGGAAAGGAAGGCAGCUGGAGGAGAAAGCCCACAGGACGCUGAGGGGGGGCCUGAGCGGGAGCCCGAGAGCCUAACUCGUGUGGACCUCAGCAGCUCCGUCCUCCCAGCUGACUCAGUGGGUCUGGCUGUUAUCCUUAAGGAUGACAACGAGGAUGGCGGCCCACCAGCUGAAAGACCAGGUAGACCAACCUACCACAGCUUUUAUGUCUACUGCAAAGGCCCCUGUCAAGGAGUGCAGCCAGGAAAGCUCAGGGUGCGAUGCAGCACCUGCCAACAAGCGACGCUCACCUUGGCCCAGGGUCCUUCUCGCUGGGAAGAUGUCUUAAUCCCAAACCAGAUGAGUGGUGAAUGCCAGUCUCCAAACUGCCCUGGGACUAGAGCAGAAUUUUUCUUUAAAUGUGGAGCACACCCGACCUCUGACAAGGAAACAUCAGUAGCUUUGAACCUGAUCACAACAAAUAGUCGAGACAUCACCUGCAUAACAUGUAUGGACGUCAGAAGCCCCGUCCUGGUUUUCCAGUGCAACUACCGCCACGUGAUUUGCUUAGACUGUUUCCACCUGUACUGUGUGACGAGACUCAAUGAUCGGCAGUUUGUCCACGACCCUCAGCUCGGUUACUCUCUGCCUUGUGUGGCUGGCUGCCCCAACUCCUUGAUUAAAGAGCUCCAUCACUUCAGGAUUCUCGGAGAAGAGCAGUACAACCGGUACCAGCAAUAUGGCGCCGAAGAGUGCGUGCUGCAGAUGGGGGGUGUGCUGUGCCCCAGCCCGGGCUGCGGAGCAGGGCUGCUUCCUGAGCCCAGCCAGAGGAAGGCCACCUGCGAAGCGGGCAGCGGCCUGGGCUGCGGGUUCGUCUUUUGCCGGGACUGUAAGGAACCGUACCAUGAAGGUGAAUGCAGUGCCCUGUUCGAAGCCUCUGGAACAGUCACUCAGGCCUACCAAGUCGAUGAGAAGACGGCAGAGCAGGCUCGAUGGGAGCACGCCUCCAAGGAAACGAUCAAGAGGACCGCUAAACCCUGUCCCCGUUGCCACGUGCCGGUGGAAAAGCAUGGCGUCUUCCUGAGGCCCGGCCUUCCUCCCCCUGGACGUGUUCUACGGCGGGUGUUUGUCGUUUGGCGGAGGCGCACCCCCAGCAUGGGCCUCAUCGCGUUGCUGAAGUCUCAGUUCCUGUGCCAUCUCAUCUUCUGUUACGUGUUUAUCGCCUCGGGGCUCCUCAUCAACACCGUUCAGCUCUGCACGCUCCUUCUCUGGCCAAUUAACAAGCAGCUCUUCCGGAAGAUCAACUGCCGGCUCUCCUACUGCAUCUCCAGCCAGCUGGUGAUGCUGCUGGAAUGGUGGUCGGGCACGGAUUGCGUCAUCCACACGGACCCCCGGGCCUACCCCAAGUACGGGAAGGAAAACGCCAUCGUUGUUCUGAAUCACAAGUUUGAGAUCGACUUUCUCUGCGGUUGGAGCCUGGCCGAGCGCUUCGGGGUCUUAGGGGGCUCCAAGGUCCUGGCCAAGAAGGAGCUGGCCUAUGUCCCCAUAAUCGGCUGGAUGUGGUACUUCACGGAGAUGGUCUUCUGCACGCGCAGGUGGGAGCAGGACCGCAAGACCGUCUCCGAGAGCCUGCUGCACCUGCGGGACUACCCCGAGAAGUACUUCUUCCUGAUUCACUGCGAGGGCACGCGGUUCACGGAGAAGAAGCACCAGAUAAGCAUGCAGGUGGCCCAGGCCAAGGGGCUGCCCAGCCUCAAGCACCACCUGCUGCCUCGCACCAAGGGCUUCGCCAUCACCGUGAGGAGUUUGAGAAAUCUGCCUCCAGGCGAUGAUCUCUGUGACCUUGCCGUCUGUCCGGCUGGCCUUGAGUCCGGAGCCCUAAAUUACUGUAGAAAUAAUGAAAAUCCAACACUGCUGGGAGUCCUAAAUGGAAAGAAAUAUCACGCAGAUUUAUACGUUAGGCGGAUCCCUUUAGGAGAAGUCCCAGAAGACGAGGACAGGUGCGCGGCCUGGCUGCACAAGCUCUACCAGGAGAAGGACGCCCUCCAGGAGGAGUACUCCCGCACGGGCGCCUUCCCCGGGACGCCCAUGGUGCCCCCGCGGCGGCCCUGGACGCUCGUCAACUGGCUCUUCUGGGCCUCGCUGCUGCUCUACCCGUUCUUCCGCUUCCUCGUCAACAUGGUCCGCAGCGGCUCCUCCCUGACGUUGGCCAGCUUCGUCCUCGUCUUCUUCGUGGCUUCCGUGGGGGUCCGAUGGAUGAUUGGCGUCACGGAAAUUGACAAGGGCUCCGCCUACGGCAACAUGGACAGCAAGCCGAAACACAGCGACUGACCCAGGACGCACCACCAUCCGAAGGGGACCUUGGAGGACUGGUGGACGCUGCCAUCAUCCUUGGAGGGACCCAGUGACGAAGCUGGCGAGGAGAUUCUAGACCCUGAAGGAACUCCUAACCCAGCGCCCACCUUCAGCAGCACACUUGAUUGCACCCCUUCUGUUGAGGAA